GACGAACCGUGCGAACGUUGUUCGGAAUCACUGGGCUUAAAGGGCGCGUAGGCGGCCCGCCGCGUCCGGGGUGAAAUCCUCCCGCUCAACGGGAGAACGGCCUCGGAUACGGGCGGGCUGGAGGCGGGUAGGGGCGGGCGGAACUGCGGGUGGAGCGGUGAAAUGCGUUGAUAUCCACAGGAACUCCGGUGGCGAAGGCGGCCCGCUGGACCCGAUCUGACGCUGAGGCGCGAAAGCCAGGGGAGCGAACGGG
rnacentral:rRNA from 1 species